CUUAGUCUUAAAGAUACAGAACUUACAGCAUAAACAGAGCAGACAACUGGGGUUACAAGCACCAAAAAGUUACCCCAGGACAGGUUAUUUUUACUAGUUGGCUGCAAAUAAGCUGCUACUCCAAGUUCAUUGAUUGACAUAUUUGCAAAUUUUCUUCCCUUAGUUCACCAGCUCUAACCUUCUGCCUCUGGGAUUUUGUUACACUUUCUGUACAAAGAGGCUUCAGUAAAUGUCUAGUAACGAAGAUCUAUCUGUUACUGCCUCUCUAAGACCCUUCAGCUGGAAAAUGGAACUGGGAAGAGUGGUACUGUGGGCAUUUUUAAAGUCGUCUCUUGCUGGCAGCUUGGCCUCUUAACAUGCCUAAUUGUUGCCUUGCUGGGCUCCUCAUUUUUGCUGAAACAGAGCUCUGACUCUGGCCGCUUGAUUUAGCUCUUGGCUUCUUGCUACGGAGCCGAGGCAGUGUGGACAGAGGCUUUUCAGGUUGGGGUUCUCUUUUGGGUAUGUUUUUUUCUCAUGUCAGAGAGGCUGCAAUUAGUGGUUUUGGUCUGCCUCAGGCCGAAUUCCACCAGCAGCGCCUGGCUGAGGACAGAAGACCACGAGCCACCCCAGCCCAGCUGUCCUGCCUUGCUUGCCCUGCCAUCUCCUGCCAGAGAAAAGCGAAGUCUCUCCACGAGUUCUAGCCCUGUGACCCAGAGGAUACCAGGUGGAGCUCCAGCCAUCAGGGAGAUAAGCAGGGCAGUGAGCAGAGGGAAGGCCGCCACUCUUUUUCCCAUUGUCCGUGAGAUGUGUUCGGCUGGGGAGAGCCGUCCUGGCGGGGUGGUACCCUGUGAGAUGUAGCAAUAUUGUAUCCAGCAAUUGCUUCCUGUUAAUCUUUGCCUGUUGCUGUUCCAAUUGUUAGUAAAAUCCUAUAUUUUUUCGCUUA